rnacentral:rRNA from 1 species
GAUGAACGCUGGCGGCGUGCCUAAUACAUGCCAGUUGAGCGAACGGACGAGAAGCUUGCUUCUCUGAUGUUAGCGGCGGACGGGUGAGUAACACGUGGAUAACCUACCUAUAAGACUGGGAUAACUUCGGGAAACCGUAGCUAAUACCGGAUAAUAUUUUGAACCGCAUGGUUCAAAAGUGAAAGACGGUCUUGCUGUCACUUAUAGAUGGAUCCGCGCUGCAUUAGCUAGUUGGUAAGGUAACGGCUUACCAAGGCAACGAUGCAUAGCCGACCUGAGAGGGUGAUCGGCCACACUGGAACUGAGACACGGUCCAGACUCCUACGGGAGGCAGCAGUAGGGAAUCUUCCGCAAUGGGCGAAAGCCUGACGGAGCAACGCCGCGUGAGUGAUGAAGGUCUUCGGAUCGUAAAACUCUGUUAUUAGGGAAGAACACAUGUGUAAGUAACUGUGCACAUCUUGACGGUACCUAAUCAGAAAGCCACGGCUAACUACGUG